UACGAAGGGGGCUAGCGUUGCUCGGAAUCACUGGGCGUAAAGCGCACGUAGGCGGGUCUUUAAGUCAGGGGUGAAAUCCUGGAGCUCAACUCCAGAACUGCCUUUGAUACUGAAGAUCUUGAGUUCGGGAGAGGUGAGUGGAACUGCGAGUGUAGAGGUGAAAUUCGUAGAUAUUCGCAAGAACACCAGUGGCGAAGGCGGCUCACUGGCCCGGUACUGACGCUGAGGUGCGAAAGCGUGGGGAGCAAACAGG
rnacentral:rRNA from 1 species